rnacentral:misc_RNA from 1 species
GAUGAAGAACGCAGCGAAAUGCGAUAAGUAAUGUGAAUUGCAGAAUUCAGUGAAUCACCGAAUCUUUGAACGCACAUUGCGCCCGUCAGUAUUCUGGCGGGCAUGCCUGUUCGAGCGUCAUUACGCCCCUCAAGUCCCCUGUGGACUUGGUGUUGGGGAUCGGCGAGGCUGGUUUUCCAGCACAGCCGUCCCUUAAAUUAAUUGGCGGUCUCGCCGUGGCCCUCCUCUGCGCAGUAGUAAAACACUCGCAACAGGAGCCCGGCGCGGUCCACUGCCGUAAAACCCCCCAACUUUUUAUAGUUGACCUCGAAUCAGGUAGGACUACCCGCUGAACUUAAGCAUAUCAAUAAGCGGAGGA